UCGAACGAUGAUCCCCAGCUUGCUGGGGGAUUAGUGGCGAACGGGUGAGUAACACGUGAGUAACCUGCCCUUGACUCUGGGAUAAGCCUGGGAAACUGGGUCUAAUACCGGAUACGACCAUCUGGCGCAUGUCAUGGUGGUGGAAAGCUUUUGUGGUUUUGGAUGGACUCGCGGCCUAUCAGCUUGUUGGUGGGGUAAUGGCCUACCAAGGCGACGACGGGUAGCCGGCCUGAGAGGGUGACCGGCCACACUGGGACUGAGACACGGCCCAGACUCCUACGGGAGGCAGCAGUGGGGAAUAUUGCACAAUGGGCGCAAGCCUGAUGCAGCGACGCCGCGUGAGGGAUGACGGCCUUCGGGUUGUAAACCUCUUUCAGUAGGGAAGAAGCGUAAGUGACGGUACCUGCAGAAGAAGCGCCGGCUAACUACGUGCCAGCAGCCGCGGUAAUACGUAGGGCGCAAGCGUUAUCCGGAAUUAUUGGGCGUAAAGAGCUCGUAGGCGGUUUGUCGCGUCUGCUGUGAAAGACCGGGGCUCAACUCCGGUUCUGCAGUGGGUACGGGCAGACUAGAGUGCAGUAGGGGAGACUGGAAUUCCUGGUGUAGCGGUGAAAUGCGCAGAUAUCAGGAGGAACACCGAUGGCGAAGGCAGGUCUCUGGGCUGUAACUGACGCUGAGGAGCGAAAGCAUGGGGAGCGAACAGGAUUAGAUACCCUGGUAGUCCAUGCCGUAAACGUUGGGCACUAGGUGUGGGGGACAUUCCACGUUUUCCGCGCCGUAGCUAACGCAUUAAGUGCCCCGCCUGGGGAGUACGGCCGCAAGGCUAAAACUCAAAGGAAUUGACGGGGGCCCGCACAAGCGGCGGAGCAUGCGGAUUAAUUCGAUGCAACGCGAAGAACCUUACCAAGGCUUGACAUGAACCGGAAAGACCUGGAAACAGGUGCCCCGCUUGCGGUCGGUUUACAGGUGGUGCAUGGUUGUCGUCAGCUCGUGUCGUGAGAAGUUGGGUUAAGUCCCGCAAC
rnacentral:rRNA from 1 species